rnacentral:rRNA from 1 species
UGAGUAACACGUAUCCAACCUGCCGUCUACUCUUGGCCAGCCUUCUGAAAGGAAGAUUAAUCCAGGAUGGCAUCAUGAGUCCGCAUGUUCACAUGAUUAAAGGUAUUCCGGUAGACGAUGGGGAUGCGUUCCAUUAGAUAGUAGGCGGGGUAACGGCCCACCUAGUCUUCGAUGGAUAGGGGUUCUGAGAGGAAGGUCCCCCACAUUGGAACUGAGACACGGUCCAA